AGCGUACACGGUGGAUGCCCUGGCAGUCAGAGGCGAUGAAGGACGUGCUAAUCUGCGAUAAGCGUCGGUAAGGUGAUAUGAACCGUUAUAACCGGCGAUUUCCGAAUGGGGAAACCCAGUGUGUUUCGACACACUAUCAUUAACUGAAUCCAUAGGUUAAUGAGGCGAACCGGGGGAACUGAAACAUCUAAGUACCCCGAGGAAAAGAAAUCAACCGAGAUUCCCCCAGUAGCGGCGAGCGAACGGGGAGCAGCCCAGAGCCUGAAUCAGUGUGUGUGUUAGUGGAAGCGUCUGGAAAGGCGCGCGAUACAGGGUGACAGCCCCGUACACAAAAAUGCACAUGCUGUGAGCUCGAUGAGUAGGGCGGGACACGUGGUAUCCUGUCUGAAUAUGGGGGGACCAUCCUCCAAGGCUAAAUACUCCUGACUGACCGAUAGUGAACCAGUACCGUGAGGGAAAGGCGAAAAGAACCCCGGCGAGGGGAGUGAAAAAGAACCUGAAACCGUGUACGUACAAGCAGUGGGAGCCUCUUUAUGGGGUGACUGCGUACCUUUUGUAUAAUGGGUCAGCGACUUAUAUUCUGUAGCAAGGUUAACCGAAUAGGGGAGCCGAAGGGAAACCGAGUCUUAACUGGGCGUUAAGUUGCAGGGUAUAGACCCGAAACCCGGUGAUCUAGCCAUGGGCAGGUUGAAGGUUGGGUAACACUAACUGGAGGACCGAACCGACUAAUGUUGAAAAAUUAGCGGAUGACUUGUGGCUGGGGGUGAAAGGCCAAUCAAACCGGGAGAUAGCUGGUUCUCCCCGAAAGCUAUUUAGGUAGCGCCUCGUGAAUUCAUCUCCGGGGGUAGAGCACUGUUUCGGCAAGGGGGUCAUCCCGACUUACCAACCCGAUGCAAACUGCGAAUACCGGAGAAUGUUAUCACGGGAGACACACGGCGGGUGCUAACGUCCGUCGUGAAGAGGGAAACAACCCAGACCGCCAGCUAAGGUCCCAAAGUCAUGGUUAAGUGGGAAACGAUGUGGGAAGGCCCAGACAGCCAGGAUGUUGGCUUAGAAGCAGCCAUCAUUUAAAGAAAGCGUAAUAGCUCACUGGUCGAGUCGGCCUGCGCGGAAGAUGUAACGGGGCUAAACCAUGCACCGAAGCUGCGGCAGCGACGCUUAUGCGUUGUUGGGUAGGGGAGCGUUCUGUAAGCCUGUGAAGGUGUGCUGUGAGGCAUGCUGGAGGUAUCAGAAGUGCGAAUGCUGACAUAAGUAACGAUAAAGCGGGUGAAAAGCCCGCUCGCCGGAAGACCAAGGGUUCCUGUCCAACGUUAAUCGGGGCAGGGUGAGUCGACCCCUAAGGCGAGGCCGAAAGGCGUAGUCGAUGGGAAACAGGUUAAUAUUCCUGUACUUGGUGUUACUGCGAAGGGGGGACGGAGAAGGCUAUGUUGGCCGGGCGACGGUUGUCCCGGUUUAAGCGUGUAGGCUGGUUUUCCAGGCAAAUCCGGAAAAUCAAGGCUGAGGCGUGAUGACGAGGCACUACGGUGCUGAAGCAACAAAUGCCCUGCUUCCAGGAAAAGCCUCUAAGCAUCAGGUAACAUCAAAUCGUACCCCAAACCGACACAGGUGGUCAGGUAGAGAAUACCAAGGCGCUUGAGAGAACUCGGGUGAAGGAACUAGGCAAAAUGGUGCCGUAACUUCGGGAGAAGGCACGCUGAUAUGUAGGUGAAGUCCCUCGCGGAUGGAGCUGAAAUCAGUCGAAGAUACCAGCUGGCUGCAACUGUUUAUUAAAAACACAGCACUGUGCAAACACGAAAGUGGACGUAUACGGUGUGACGCCUGCCCGGUGCCGGAAGGUUAAUUGAUGGGGUUAGCGGUAACGCGAAGCUCUUGAUCGAAGCCCCGGUAAACGGCGGCCGUAACUAUAACGGUCCUAAGGUAGCGAAAUUCCUUGUCGGGUAAGUUCCGACCUGCACGAAUGGCGUAAUGAUGGCCAGGCUGUCUCCACCCGAGACUCAGUGAAAUUGAACUCGCUGUGAAGAUGCAGUGUACCCGCGGCAAGACGGAAAGACCCCGUGAACCUUUACUAUAGCUUGACACUGAACAUUGAGCCUUGAUGUGUAGGAUAGGUGGGAGGCUUUGAAGUGUGGACGCCAGUCUGCAUGGAGCCGACCUUGAAAUACCACCCUUUAAUGUUUGAUGUUCUAACGUUGACCCGUAAUCCGGGUUGCGGACAGUGUCUGGUGGGUAGUUUGACUGGGGCGGUCUCCUCCUAAAGAGUAACGGAGGAGCACGAAGGUUGGCUAAUCCUGGUCGGACAUCAGGAGGUUAGUGCAAUGGCAUAAGCCAGCUUGACUGCGAGCGUGACGGCGCGAGCAGGUGCGAAAGCAGGUCAUAGUGAUCCGGUGGCUCUGAAUGGAAGGGCCAUCGCUCAACGGAUAAAAGGUACUCCGGGGAUAACAGGCUGAUACCGCCCAAGAGUUCAUAUCGACGGCGGUGUUUGGCACCUCGAUGUCGGCUCAUCACAUCCUGGGGCUGAAGUAGGUCCCAAGGGUAUGGCUGUUCGCCAUUUAAAGUGGUACGCGAGCUGGGUUUAGAACGUCGUGAGACAGUUCGGUCCCUAUCUGCCGUGGGCGCUGGAGAACUGAGGGGGGCUGCUCCUAGUACGAGAGGACCGGAGUGGACGCAUCACUGGUGUUCGGGUUGUCAUGCCAAUGGCACUGCCCGGUAGCUAAAUGCGGAAGAGAUAAGUGCUGAAAGCAUCUAAGCACGAAACUUGCCCCGAGAUGAGUUCUCCCUGACUCCUUGA
rnacentral:rRNA from 1 species